CUCGAGUUUGUUUGACCCUUUUCGUCUUUGUAUAAUCUGGUAUCAGGCAGCCAAAGCAUAGGAGGGGCACACAUCAGCCGAGCCCCCAGCCUCGUCCUGCCCUUGAGACUCGGCAGGGAACUGCCCCUGAACCCAUGGGACCCAGAGGCGCUCUCCCCAUCGCCCCUCUGAGUCCCCCCGGACCCGCUUCCGUCCGUUUUUCAGGCAGGAGGCCGAAAAUCACCAGCUAGUCUUGCAGGGACGCUCUGUGACUUGUUUUUUUAUAUUUUUAUUUAUUAAAGUUUUUACUCGAAGAA
rnacentral:lncRNA from 1 species